UGGCUUCAGGGUUUGAAAAGUCAUUCAAUCCCUUCAUUCUUAAAGUUGACCUUCUAGGGAGUCUGGAGCUGGCAAGUUUCAGAUUCAUUUGCGUCAACAUGUUGUUUGGUUAAUGCAGCUGAGCAUCUAAGCCCAUUUUCUUAGAAACAGGAAAUCCCAGUGUGCCAAGAGUAAACAGAUCCCAGCCCCCAAAGGUUCGAGUUCAUUUAGGAACUCCCUGACCACAAGGGUCUGUGGAGCUGUAUGCUUGAGUCAGGCUCACUCUCCUGCCCAUAAUGGAUCUUGCACAAAGAAAUCGGUCUCUCUUCAGCUCAGCACCUAGAAGAGCUGUGAGCUGAGCCAGGCUCAAGAGAGGCCGGGGGUAGGUUAAGGACAGGAUCCUAACGUCAGACAACAUGGAAAAGUAUCGAGGGUCUUUUGUAACUCAGGGGGUGUUUCCCCUGAGACCCCCACCACAGACUCUUUGAUUCCAGUGGCUUGCUUAUAAUUCUUUGUAUCUUCCACAGCAGCAGGGAAUCUUGUCUGUUUUAUUCUCCAUCCCACCACUACCACCACACGGUGUCCGGAACGGGAGGCACUAAGUGCAUAGCUAAGGGGAUGAACGAACGAUUAGCUAAGCGGCACCAUGAGAGUCAAGGCCUUCGUGAAGAAGCUUGCCCGGGCAGGCUUCGCAAGGCAUCAUGCAGGGGUCAGCCGCCAUGGUCCUGAGGGGCUCAGAGAGAAUUCUCGUGGGCAAACUUGUCAGCACUCAACCGGGAAGGACUGAUUCUACCAAAGCGGCCGGGAGGUUCCAGCUUCGCAAGCUCUCUUCCUUCUGACCGAUGACCGCGCAGGGCUCCAACAGCCCCUUGCUGCCCUGUGGCACCUGUCUGCCGGGCAUGACUUUCGGCUUGUUUGAGGAGAGCAAGAAAAGCCAGGGCGGCGCAAGCAGAUGUGAUGAACGCAGCUCCGCUUCCCAAGGCCAAUGUGCAGGAAACAAGUGGAAAGGAAUCUGGCCACCUACUCCUUCCCUGCAGACCUGGCCUCCCCAUUGGUCAGAUUCCAGCGAGGCUGGAAGAAGAAGGGCAGGUGGUGGUGUUCAGAAAUGUGCUUUGCAUCACCAGCUUUGGGGGAGCCUCAGAAGGUUGGGGAGAAUCGCCUCUGUACCCCGAAUCUCAUGGGGAGUGAGUCCCGUGUGUCGUGGAUGCAAAAUCUGUGACUAGGAGAAGUGAAGUGAUUUGCUCAGCAUCACACAUCUGGUGGACAGCAGGAGCUGGCAUUAGAACUCCAGUCUAUGACAUCCGGGUCCCCUUUUUCCGGUUAGGAUGGCUGUCCUGCCUGCCUUUCAGCACUCAAAUGAGUUAA